rnacentral:rRNA from 1 species
UACGUAGGUUUCCCUCGUUUUCAGGCCUUAUUGGGCGUAAAGCGCGCGCAGGCGGUUCCUUAAGGCUGAUGUGAAAGCCCACGGCUCAACCGUGGAGGGUCAUUGGAAACUGGGGGACUUGAGUGCAGAAGAGGAGAGCGGAAUUCCACGUGUAGCGGUGAAAUGCGUAGAGAUGUGGAGGAACACCAGUGGCGAAGGCGGCUCUCUGGUCUGUAACUGACGCUGAGGCGCGAAAGCGUGGGGAGCAAACAGG